rnacentral:rRNA from 1 species
GAUGAACGCUGGCGGCGUGCCUAAUACAUGCAAGUCGAGCGAACGGACGAGAAGCUUGCUUCUCUGAUGUUAGCGGCGGACGGGUGAGUAACACGUGGAUAACCUACCUAUAAGACUGGGAUAACUUCGGGAAACCGGAGCUAAUACCGGAUGAUAUUUUGAACCGCAUGGUUCAAAAGUGAAAGACGGUCUUGCUGUCACUUAUAGAUGGAUCCGCGCUGCAUUAGCUAGUUGGUAAGGUAACGGCUUACCAAGGCAACGAUGCAUAGCCGACCUGAGAGGGUGAUCGGCCACACUGGAACUGAGACACGGUCCAGACUCCUACGGGAGGCAGCAGUAGGGAAUCUUCCGCAAUGGGCGAAAGCCUGACGGAGCAACGCCGCGUGAGUGAUGAAGGUCUUCGGAUCGUAAAACUCUGUUAUUAGGGAAGAACAUAUGUGUAAGUAACUGUGCACAUCUUGACGGUACCUAAUCAGAAAGCCACGGCUAACUACGUGCCAGCAGCCGCGGUAAUACGUAGGUGGCAAGCGUUAUCCGGAAUUAUUGGGCGUAAAGCGCGCGUAGGCGGUUUUUUAAGUCUGAUGUGAAAGCCCACGGCUCAACCGUGGAGGGUCAUUGGAAACUGGAAAACUUGAGUGCAGAAGAGGAAAGUGGAAUUCCAUGUGUAGCGGUGAAAUGCGCAGAGAUAUGGAGGAACACCAGUGGCGAAGGCGACUUUCUGGUCUGUAACUGACGCUGAUGUGCGAAAGCGUGGGGAUCAAACAGGAUUAGAUACCCUGGUAGUCCACGCCGUAAACGAUGAGUGCUAAGUGUUAGGGGGUUUCCGCCCCUUAGUGCUGCAGCUAACGCAUUAAGCACUCCGCCUGGGGAGUACGACCGCAAGGUUGAAACUCAAAGGAAUUGACGGGGACCCGCACAAGCGGUGGAGCAUGUGGUUUAAUUCGAAGCAACGCGAAGAACCUUACCAAAUCUUGACAUCCUUUGACAACUCUAGAGAUAGAGCCUUCCCCUUCGGGGGGGACAAAGUGACAGGUGGUGCAUGGUUGUCGUCAGCUCGUGUCAUGAGAUGUUGGGUUAAGUCCCGCAACGAGCGCAACCCUUAAGCUUAGUUGCCAUCAUUAAGUUGGGCACUCUAAGUUGACUGCCGGUGACAAACCGGAGGAAGGUGGGGAUGACGUCAAAUCAUCAUGCCCCUUAUGAUUUGGGCUACACACGUGCUACAAUGGACAAUACAAAGGGCAGCGAAACCGCGAGGUCAAGCAAAUCCCAUAAAGUUGUUCUCAGUUCGGAUUGUAGUCUGCAACUCGACUACAUGAAGCUGGAAUCGCUAGUAAUCGUAGAUCAGCAUGCUACGGUGAAUACGUUCCCGGGUCU